rnacentral:lncRNA from 1 species
GCAGACUUCAGAGUCACCGUGAUCACAUGGCCUCCCUCCGUCCUGCAUUACCUGGACUACGCGGCAUCAUGGUAGUCGCUGUUUCUGGCUUUGAGUUUUCCAUCUCCAUGAGCUCUCACAAUGCCAAACUGCAUUGUCUCAUGAAGAACCACUUGGAAUCCCCCUGAGGUCCAGAAAACACGCCUGAUAUCAGCUGCCAGGCCCAUCUUGCAUUUGCAGUCCAAGGUCAGUCUACAGCAGAAGCAAGAGGCAUUCCCUUGAUGGCACAAAGGACCAAGAUGGGAGAACUUGCAAACAAGGAAGAUCGAGAAAAUUCCUAUUUAUCUCACAAUUUCCACCCUGAGUCCUGAUCUCCUAAGUGUCCCUUUCACAGAACUGUACCUGACCUACUUUCAAGCCUGGGUUUCCCUCCUUGAUUAAGCUACUCUCGAUAUACCCUCCUACAUCUCCUAGGCAAUUCCAAGCCCCAUCGACUUGACAACCAAGAUUGGCCAGCAAAGAUAGUAAAUUAUAUGCUGUGUUUAUUUUACCACUGUGCUAUUCUGUCUUGGUUUUGUACAUGGGAAAAAACCUGUUUUCCUUAAAGGUUUGAAGACUGUCUCAUGUUUUAUUCUUUUUGUAUGUGAGUACACUGUCACUGUCUUCAGGCACACCAAAAGAGGGCAUCAGAUCCCAUUACAGAUGGUUGUGAGCUACCAUGUGGUUGCUGGGAAUUGAACUCAGGACCUCUGGAAGAGCAGUCAGUGCUCUUAACUGCUGAGCCAUCUCUCCAGCCCCCUUCCUAUGCUUUAUAGCAGGUUUUCACAGAAAUGAUGCUUUUAGCAUAUGAAGUAACCUAAAGGGAGAGCAUACACUUGCUCCUUCUUGAAGUUUUACAUUUCAGAUUUAUCAAGCUACUUGAUGAAAAAUCAGAAGUCAAUAGUGUAUUUACUUACUUCAGGGGACAGAGGAUGUGAGAGCUUAAGAACAUAGGAAUCUUCUUUCCCCCUACUAAUUAAAUACUUUAUUGAGCAAGUACAAUACCAACAAAAUGCAUUCAAAUUUUCUCUAAAGAAAAAAAAAUCACUUUUAAAGGCCUUUCUAGUUAGGCUAAUGACAAACACAAUAAAAGCAGAUAUGCUAGUUUAACAUAAUUGGCUGAUUUCAUACAGCACUUAUAUCUUUUACUCCACAAGUAUAUCAUUAAAUGAUAGAGAACAUCUAAUACAUCUAAUGCAACUAUUUCUACAUAACUAGCCAAGGAAUUUCU